rnacentral:rRNA from 1 species
AUAAACGCUAGCGGCAGGCCUAACACAUGCAAGUCGAGGGGCAGCGGGUGGAGUAUUUCGGUACUCCUGCCGGCGACCGGCGCACGGGUGCGUAACGCGUAUGCAACCUACCUUUAACAGGGGGAUAAUCCGAAGAAAUUUGGUCUAAUACCCCAUAAUAUCAUUUAAGGCAUCUUAGAUGGUUGAAAAUUCCGAUGGUUAGAGAUGGGCAUGCGUUGUAUUAGCUAGUUGGUGAGGUAACGGCUCACCAAGGCUACGAUACAUAGGGGGACUGAGAGGUUUUCCCCCCACACUGGUACUGAGACACGGACCAGACUCCUACGGGAGGCAGCAGUGAGGAAUAUUGGUCAAUGGACGCAAGUCUGAACCAGCCAUGCCGCGUGCAGGAUGAAGGUGCUAUGCAUUGUAAACUGCUUUUGUACGAGGGUAAAUGCAGGUACGUGUACCUGUUUGAAAGUAUCGUACGAAUAAGGGUCGGCUAACUCCGUGCCAGCAGCCGCGGUAAUACGGAGGACCCGAGCGUUAUCCGGAUUUAUUGGGUUUAAAGGGUGCGUAGGCGGAUUAGUAAGUUAGAGGUGAAAGCUCGAUGCUCAACAUCGAAAUUGCCUCUGAUACUGUUAGUCUAGAGUAUAGUUGCGGAAGGCGGAAUGUGUGGUGUAGCGGUGAAAUGCUUAGAUAUCACACAGAACACCGAUUGCGAAGGCAGCUUUCCAAGCUAUUACUGACGCUGAUGCACGAAAGCGUGGGGAGCGAACAGGAUUAGAUACCCUGGUAGUCCACGCCGUAAACGAUGAUAACUCGUUGCAGGCGAUACACAGUCUGUGACUUAGCGAAAGCGUUAAGUUAUCCACCUGGGGAGUACGUUCGCAAGAAUGAAACUCAAAGGAAUUGACGGGGGCCCGCACAAGCAGUGGAGUAUGUGGUUUAAUUCGACGCAACGCGAAGAACCUUACCAGGCCUUGACAUCCCUUGCAGAGGUAUAGAGAUAUAUCCGAGGUUAUCAAGGAGACAGGUGGUGCAUGGUUGUCGUCAGCUCGUGCCGUGAGGUGUCGGGUUAAGUCCCAUAACGAGCGCAACCCCUACUGUUAGUUACCAGCACGUCAAGGUGGGCACUCUAGCAGGACUGCCGGUGUAAGCCGAGAGGAAGGUGGGGAUGACGUCAAAUCAGCACGGCCCUUACGUCCGGGGCGACACACGUGUUACAAUGGUCGGUACAGAGGGUCGCUACCCCGUGAGGGGAUGCCAAUCUCGAAAGCCGAUCUCAGUUCGGAUUGGAGGCUGAAACUCGCCUCCAUGAAGUUGGAUUCGCUAGUAAUCGCGCAUCAGCCAUGGCGCGGUGAAUACGUUCCCGGGCCUUGUACACACCGCCCGUCACACCAUGAGAGUUGGGGAUACCCGAAGCCUGUGAGCUAACUUUUAGAGGCAGCAGUCGAAGGUAGAAUCAAUGAUUGGGGUG